GUGGCCGGAGAUGGUGACGUAACGACGGUGACACGGCGGGAGAUGAGAAAGUCAGAGAGAGAGUCUUGGAAACUUUUGCUUUGGAGUCGUGAGAGUCUGAGAGAGGGAGGGAGGGAGAGGCCUUUUAUAUUGCGUUUUAAGCAGAUAUAUCUUAAUUCGGUUUAUGCCAGGAAUAAUUUGCUUGAGAGAAAUUGGAUCCACAUUGAAAGGGUCUUAUCAUCUAUAUGAUAGUCUGUAACUAUGGUGUCUUACGGGAAAACUUCACGAUGGAAAAAAACAGAUGUGAUGCGUCUUUCUAGCAGUUGAAAAUAGAUGUGAAGCGUUUUCCACUCUUUCUUUUUGUUUCUUCUCUGCUCUGUUUCCAGAGAAACCCGAAGACAACAAAACUUGAGUUUUUGGGGGUUUGAUUUUUUUCAAAAGAAUCAGAACAAUGAAAAACAGAUUUCAGGUUUCUUGAAUCUUCAGUGGAAAAGAUAUGGUUUAUGUUGUGAGUUAUCCCAAUAGGUAAUGGGGCUUUUCUCUCAUUUCCUUUUAAAAUGAGAAUUAUGUUGUGAUGUCUCUGUUUUUUUCAACAAAGGUUCCUCCUUUUCAAGAAGAAAGAUCAGACUCGUGUAUGUGAAUUGGUUAUUUGUUCGAAUUUUGCAAUUUUAUUUUUAGUUUUCUGGAAAUAUUACAAUGAGUGUUCCAGCAGUUAAAAUGUGUAAGAGAAGGUUUAACGACAUAGGAAUGGGAAGAUAUGAUUCAGAUUUUCGGACCCAACAAUGUUGAAGAGAAAAAGGAGAGCAAGAUUCUCAAGUUCUUAGGUUUAUGUGGAAUCCACUCGUGUGAGCCCGGAUCUGUCGUGUUCUUGUCGGCGAUUGAGAUACGAGGAGGCGUCUCUUGGUCGGAGGAGCAUUUGAGGAGGAGAGAGCCGUAAAAAGUGGAAGUGAGGGAAACGAGGUGGUGAGUGUCGCCUUUUCUAGCCGGAGGAUGGUGAACCAGCGGUGUCGGAAAAUAAAAAGCUUUGUGGAUCGCCGGAGAAGAGGAGUCAGAGGCGAGCUUCGUCGCCAGGGAAGAAGAGAGAGAAGUAGAAGAAGCUGAAGAAGAGGUUUUUGAAGUAGAAGAACCCAUUUUGAAUUGAAUUUAACAAACACUGAGCUUUGAAAGAUUUAGUUUGGUUUCUCUUUCUGGGUUCUUCUGAGAUGUUUGAUUCUCUCUCUUUAGAGUACAUAUCUCAUUGCUUUUAUGGUUUUUGUUCUAUUAACUAUGUGUCGUAAUGCAUAAAAAUUUCACC